GCAAUCGUGGCCGAGUGGUUAAGGCGAUGGCUUAGAAAUCCAUUGGGGUCUCCCCGCACCACCGUGCCCCGCACAGAUUCGAAUUCUGUCGACUGCG
rfam:Ixodes scapularis strain Wikel colony gcontig_1108379635662, whole genome shotgun sequence.